rnacentral:rRNA from 1 species
GACGAACGCUGGCGGCGUGCUUAACACAUGCAGGUCGAACGGAAAGGCCCUGCUUUUGUGGGGUGCUCGAGUGGCGAACGGGUGAGUAACACGUGAGUAACCUACCCUUGACUUUGGGAUAACUUCAGGAAACUGGGGCUAAUACCGGAUAGGAGCUCCUGCUGCAUGGUGGGGGUUGGAAAGUUUCGGCGGUUGGGGAUGGACUCGCGGCUUAUCAGCUUGUUGGUGGGGUAGUGGCUUACCAAGGCUUUGACGGGUAGCCGGCCUGAGAGGGUGACCGGCCACAUUGGGACUGAGAUACGGCCCAGACUCCUACGGGAGGCAGCAGUGGGGAAUAUUGCACAAUGGGCGGAAGCCUGAUGCAGCAACGCCACGUGCGGGAUGACGGCCUUCGGGUUGUAAACCGCUUUCGCCUGUGACGAAGCGUGAGUGACGGUAAUGGGUAAAGAAGCACCGGCUAACUACGUG